rnacentral:rRNA from 1 species
GGAAGGUGGGGAUGACGUCAAAUCAGCACGGCCCUUACGUCCGGGGCUACACACGUGUUACAAUGGGGGGUACAGAAGGCAGCUACCUGGCGACAGGAUGCUAAUCCCAAAAACCUCUCUCAGUUCGGAUCGAAGUCUGCAACCCGACUUCGUGAAGCUGGAUUCGCUAGUAAUCGCGCAUCAGCCAUGGCGCGGUGAAUACGUUCCCGGGCCUUGUACACACCGCCCGUCAAGCCAUGAAAGCCGGGGGUACCUGAAGUACGUAACCGCAAGGAGCGUCCUAGGGUAAAACUGGUAAUUGGGGCUAAGUCGUAACAAGGUA